rnacentral:rRNA from 1 species
GACGAACGCUGGCGGCGUGCUUAACACAUGCAAGUCGAACGGAAAGGCCCUGCUUUUGUGGGGUGCUCGAGUGGCGAACGGGUGAGUAACACGUGAGUAACCUGCCCUUGACUUUGGGAUAACUUCAGGAAACUGGGGCUAAUACCGGAUAUGAGCUCCUGCUGCAUGUUGGGGGUUGGAAAGUUUCGGCGGUUGGGGAUGUACUCGCGGCUUAUCAGCUUGUUGGUGGGGUAGUGGCUUACCAAGGCUUUGACGGGUAGCCGGCCUGAGAGGGUGACCGGCCACAUUGGGACUGAGAUACGGCCCAGACUCGUACGGGAGGCAGCAGUGGGGAAUAUUGCACAAUGGGCGGAAGCCUGAUGCAGCAACGCCGCGUGCGGGAUGACGGCCUUCGGGUUGUAAACCGCUUUCGCCUGUGACGAAGAGUGAGUGACGGUAAUGGGUAAAGAAGCACCGGCUAACUACGUG